rnacentral:snRNA from 1 species
CAGAAAUCUCGUGUGGAACAAA